AUUACUUCUUGGCCUUUUUUGCUAAGAUCAAGUGUAGUACCCGUUCUUACUAGUUUGACAUCUGAUAAAGAUCUCUAUCUGGGGACAGCACAUUCAAUGGGUUUCUGGAGUAGGGAGAUAGAAAUGGAGUUUGCCUGUUCACACUGUGCGUAGAUCCACUACUGAAGUGCUUCUGGGAACAGUGCACCCCCU